UUUUAAUGACAACAGAGCGGGGGGAGAGGGAAGAUUUUGUCCGAGAACAAUUUGAUUAAUCAUUUUCAAACUCUUCAGAUUUUCAUGUUCCAGUGCUAGAAUUCAUUAGAGAGAGAAGAGAUAAGAUGAUGGCGGUUGCGACGACAGGGGGACUCAUAAUUCCAUGGUUUUACAGUAAGCAGUGCAGCUACCACACCAACAAUGGAGGAAAACCACCCAGUUUUAAAGCCCCAGUUUCUUCAUUGAAGCAGCAGAUUAAAAACAAUAACAAUGGUGGCAAUAGUCUCAUUUGCAGGUGCAAUAAUGGCACAUCAUCACAAAACGCCGCCCAAGAGUCGGAUUGGAGCUCAUGGCAACGCCAUUUCUCUCAGAUAGACCAGGAUGAGAACUACUCUUCACUCCUCAAGUUUCAACUUGAAGAGGCAGUUGAAAAUGAAGAUUUUUAUGAAGCUUCACAAGUGAAGAAAGCCUUAGAGGAAGUAGCAUCCAAGGAUGUUGUUGCUGAAGUAAUGUCACAACUGGAGAAGUCUAUAAUGGAAGAGCGCUACCAUGAUGCCUCAUUGAUUUGCAGAACUACAGGGAGCGGGCUGGUUGGCUGGUGGGUUGGCUGGUCAGAAGGUUUUGAUGAUCCUCUAGGCAAAAUUGUUCAAAUUACACCAGCUGUAGGUAGAUUUGUUGCCAGGAGCUUUAGUCCAAGGCAACUGACUACUGUAUCUUCUGGUACUCCUCUAUUUGAAAUCUUUGUUGUAAAAGAUGCUAUUGAAGGAUACAAAAUGCAGGCAGUCUAUUUGCAGCCACCCAAGGGAAGCUCCUCUCAAUCUACAUCCUCAUCAUUGAAAUCUUCAGAUGUUGCUUCUACGCCCGACUCUCAAAAGUUGUCUGAAGAAGAUAAAAUGAAUGAAUUUAGCUCUGAAAAAGUUGAUGGGAAGCAGAAUGAUAUCAAAGAUGUCACUGAGGAAGGAUUGAGAAGUUUUAUAAAUUUCCUUAAAGAUAGGAUACCGAGUUUAAAAGUUAAAGUUCUGACUAAUAUCUCACCAGUGGAUGUCAAAAAAGGUAUCAACUUGGUUGAGCAAUUACAGGGAGAUGAUGGGAAUGGCGAUUCUGUUGAAAGCUCUGACGAUGACGAUGGAAGCUCAAGUGAUUUUCAGGAUGAGGAAGUGCUAGCUGGAGGGGAUGGUGAUUUAGGGAGUGAUGGGAAAGAUAUGAAUGUAAAACUUGUAAUUGGUGGGGUUUUGCAAACUGAUGAGGAAAGCUCAUCGAAGGCGCCUACACGUGUGCCCGCUCAAAUUAAAGACAUAGAAAGAGACUCUUUUGUGCUUUGUAUUCCUGGGAAUGGAGAAUCAGGUGCAGGUUGGGGCAAGGCUUCAAAACUUGAAUUGGCUCAAAUAGCUGCUCAAGCGGCUUCAGAACUUAUGCCCCCUGAUGUUGCUAAAGCAUUUCUGAGGAUGGAUAAAGCUUUUCCUAAGGUAUCUAGAAAUCUCCGUGAGAUUGUGAAGUAUGCAAUUGUUCAAGCUCAAAGACGAAACAUAUUGUCUCCGACAACCAUGUUCCAUCGCAUAAAAAAUGGCAAUGAGAGCACAGAUCCACUUGAUGGCUUAUAUGUUGGAGCAUUUGGCCCAUUUGAGUCUGAGGUGGUCCAGUUAAGGUGUAAGGUUGGUCCUUGGCCUCGCCUGGAUGAGAACGACGAGAGUUUCUCAAAUUUUGAAUUUUGCCAGUAUGUCGAAGCUGUAAAGUUGACUGGUGACCUUAAUGUCCCUGCUGGACAGGUCACUUUUCUUGCUAAAGUUGGCCAAGAGAAUCGUCUAGUUAACAAUGGAAGCUAUCCAGAGGAGUUAGGCGUGGUUAUGAGAUACAAAGGUCGGGGAAGGAUAGCAGAACCGGGAUUUCAGAAUCCUCGAUGGGUUGAUGGUGAGCUGCUACUUUUUAAUGGCAAGGGUAUGGGACCUUUGAGUGGCGCAGAGCUUGGAUUUCUCUAUGCAGUUCCAAAGCAAAGCUUACUUGUACUCUUUGAUCGUUUGAUACUCCCUGAAUGACGUUUGACUUAAUUGUCCACAAUGCCUUGACAACGGAAGAACGGUCCAAUUAAUUGCAAUAUUUUUGGCAAGGAUCAAGGUCUCUGUUGAUGGUGAGAUUUAUUACCAUGCUAUCAUCCAAUGCCAUGAGUCGGAUGGUGUUAAAAAGAGGUGCUUUCGUGCUUUCUUGUAAAUGAGCAGUUUUGAAGAUUCACGAGAGAGAGAAACUGACACUUUGUACGGCAAGGUGGUUUCCAAAAUUUUGGAUAAAAAAAAUGUCCCCGAGUUGGUCUUUUACCUGACAGAGUAAAUGUGCGGUCUUAGAAAAACAUUCAA